AGCAGCGUGGCUUACUGGAAAGAGCCUGGGUUUGGGAGUCAGGUGUCAUGGGUUCUAAUCCUGUCUCUGCCA
rnacentral:tRNA from 1 species